rnacentral:sRNA from 1 species
CGGUUCGCUGCCCGCGACGUCCGAGAAGUCCACUGAACCUUAUCAUUUAGAGGAAGGAGAAGUCGUAACAAGGUUUCCGUAGGUGAACCUGCGGAAGGAUCAUUGUCGAAUCCUAAGAAAACCGCGAACCCGUUCAUAAACACGCGGGCGCCGGCGAGGGGGCAACCCCGACCCGGCGCCCCCACGCCGGCCCCUCGCCCCGGCGUCGGGCCGUGCGAAAAAACAAACCCCGGCGCGGAAAGCGCCAAGGAAAACCGAAACGGAUUGCCAUCCCCCCGCGGCCCCGUCCGCGGCGUGCCCGGGGGGAGCAGCGGCGUCUAUUGAAACAAACGACUCUCGGCAACGGAUAUCUCGGCUCUCGCAUCGAUGAAGAACGUAGCGAACUGCGAUACUUGGUGUGAAUUGCAGAAUCCCGUGAACCAUCGAGUCUUUGAACGCAAGUUGCGCCCGAAGCCAUUAGGCCGAGGGCACGUCUGCCUGGGCGUCACGCAUCGCGUCGCCCCUCCCAACGCCAGGGAACUGUCGUCGGAAGGCGGGGGCGGAGACUGGCCCCCCGUGCUCGCGCGCGGCCGGCCUAAACGCGAGUCCCCGCGACGGACGUCACGACAAGUGGUGGUUGAAUCGCUCAACUCGGCAGCUGUCGUGCCGAACCCCGUCGCGCCGAGGAGACCCCCCGGACCCUCACGCACGCGUCUCCGGACGCCUGCCACGACCGCGACCCCAGGUCAGGCGGGACUACCCGCUGAGUUUAAGCAUAUCAAUAAGCGGAGGAAAAGAAACUAAC